GCGUGAAUGAUGAAGGCCUUCGGGUUGUAAAGUUCUUUUGGUGGGGACGAUAAUGACGGUACCCACAGAAUAAGCUCCGGCUAACUUCGUGCCAGCAGCCGCGGUAAUACGAAGGGAGCUAGCGUUGUUCGGAAUUACUGGGCGUAAAGGGCGCGUAGGCGGUAGGACAAGUCAGGUGUGAAAGCCCUGGGCUCAACCCAGGAACUGCGCUUGAUACUGUCCUGCUUGAAUUCGGUAGAGGUGAGUGGAAUUCCCAGUGUAGAGGUGAAAUUCGU
rnacentral:rRNA from 1 species